GAUGAACGCUAGCGGCAGGCUUAACACAUGCAAGUCGAGGGGCAGCGCGAUGUAGCAAUACAUUGGCGGCGACCGGCGCACGGGUGCGUAACACGUAUGGAACCUGCCCUGUACUGGAAGAUAACCCGGAGAAAUCCGGACUAAUAUUCCAUAAUAAACGAGGUGGCAUCACCUUGUUUUGAAAGCUCCGGCGGUACAGGAUGGUCAUGCGCACGAUUAGCUAGUUGGUGAGGUAACGGCUCACCAAGGCUACGAUCGUUAGGGGGCCUGAGAGGGUUAUCCCCCACACUGGUACUGAGACACGGACCAGACUCCUACGGGAGGCAGCAGUGAGGAAUAUUGCGCAAUGGAGGCAACUCUGACGCAGCCAUGCCGCGUGCAGGAAGAAGGCGCUACGCGUUGUAAACUGCUUUUAACCGGGAAGAAACCCCAGGACGUGUCCUGGGUUGACGGUACCGGAGGAAUAAGCACCGGCUAACUUCGUGCCAGCAGCCGACGG
rnacentral:rRNA from 1 species